ensembl:lncRNA
CAGCCCCCCAGCUUCCCCGCCUUCCCCUCUCUCCAGCCCCCCUGCUCUCUCUGCUUCCCCGCCCCCACACCCUCUUCUCCCCAGCCCCACUGCCCCUCCUGCAUCUCCAGUCAAAUCCACCAACCCUCAGUCAGGGACUAUUCAGCUCCUCUGCUGUUUCACAGACCUCCCUCAGCAUGAGAUUGAAGACAUCCUAAGGAAGAUGAAGCCCUCCAACUGUGACCUGGACCCAUUUCCCUCAACCCUGAUAAAAAGUCACUCCUCUGUAGGGCUGGGUAUCGAAUUUCGAUCCGGUUAUGGCACCGACCGAAAUGCUCCGAUCCUAUCGAAUAUCAAAACAUUAAUAGUUUUCCGGUGCCGUAUUUCGAUACUCAAUGAAAUUAAUCCCAGCCUGUCUGCCAAUAGUAAUAUCGUUUUCAACUGUUUCUGGGUAAAUGCUACGUCUGUGAGCCAAUAAUCAUGUGGUAUUAGUGGUUACGAAUCUUAAGUCGCUGGUGAUUGGCUGUCACAUUUUCGGAGCGCGAGACACGUUUGUCUACUUGACCGUCACUAUAUCAAACUUUGUCAGCUGUAACGUCACUCUUGACGUUGUCAUAAUGCCUAAAAGGUCCAAAGUGUGGCUCCACUUCGCUCAGGUGGACACCAAUAGAGCCAGAUGCUCUAUUUGCCAAAAAGUCGUGCUGGCGAAAGACGGCAACACAUCAAAUCUUGCGAAACAUUUAAUAAUGCACAAGAUUAACCUCCGGUCGGACAGCUGCUCCGUGUUUGACUGUAAAGCUAAGAAAGCUAAGAAGGACGACGGGACUUCAGUCACCAGACCGCCUCCUUCUUCCACAUCGAAUUCUCUAUCGGCUAGUGACCGGGAUUCAGCUGGGAGUUUGGCCAACAACAUUACAGCAGGUGGACGAUGGGGACAGCUCAUGCGAUGAAGCCAGUUCAGCUGCAACAGAGGUAAAUAUUGUCUUGCUCAUUUAAUAUUUUCCAGUUUACAUAUGCAACUAAAUGUUAGGUGGAUAUUCAAAGCAAUGGGGACAAACAUCAAAAUGUGACUUUUUUUAAAUUAAUUUAUUUGAGAAAAUAAAUAUCUCACAAGUGCAAAAGUGAAUCUAUUCUUGCAAAACCCCAUAGCAGAUGCCAUAGAUUCCAUAGGUUUACCUUUACACUUUUCUCAAAUCAAUGAAUUUGAUCUAUACACAACCUUACUCCUUCUUCUUUUUAUUAUCUGCUUAUAGAAACUGACAAAGCUGUCUGCGCUGGAGGAGUUGUUCAUGGAUGAGGACAUAGAGGUGGGAGAGCGGAAUUACCCAAUUGCGAGCCAAAGGGAUAAGGUGAAAGAAGAAAUCCGCCACUACAGAGGUUUGCCAUCAACUUUGUCAACUGUUGAUCCAGUGACCUGGUGGUGGGACAUGAGGGGCACCCUACCAGCACUAUCAAGCUUGGCUGCAAGGUACCUCUGUGUUCAGGCGUCAGCGACACCAUCAGAGCGCACCUUUUCAACGGCUGGCGACACAAUCAGCCAGGAGCGGGCCUGUCUGUUGCCAGACAAGGCAGACAUGCUGAUCUUUCUAAAAAAAAACUGUUGAGUGACUGUUGUCAUGCAAUUUGGACUCUUUGGACAUUUGUUUGCAUCAGUUUUUCUCUUUGUUAUUAUUAUUGCAUUGUUAUUUAUUCAUUCCUUAUUAUAACUGAGUGCCCUCGACUAGGCCCCCAUGCCUAGAUCUCUGUGUAUUUAUGUAUGUGUGUAUUUAUGCAUGUGCUCUCUCUCUCUCUCUCUCUCGCUCUCUCGCUCUCUCUCAGUUCUGAAAAAUAAAUUCUAUAAUUCCUAAUUUGUUUUUGUUGUGGAAAUUGAUUUUUAAAACAUCAGGUAUCGAAAAAAGUAUCGUAUCGAACCGGUAUCGAAACCAAGGUAUCGAAAUUAGCACCGUAUCGAAAUAUUUUGAACGAUACCCACCCCUACUCCUCUGCAAUAAUUCCCAUGAUAACCAAAAUCAUCAAUCAGUCCCUCCAGUCCGGCCAUGUACCCACGUUUCUGAAAACUGCUGUCAUCAAGCCACUACUCAAAAAGCCCAGCCUUGAAGCACCUGCCAACUACUGCCCCAUGUCCAACCUCCCUUUCCUAUCAAAGGUGUUGGAAAAGGUCGUUUCUGCCCAUCUCCACAACCACCUCAUAACAAACAGUCUUUAUGAGAAGUUGCAGUCUGGUUCCCGCUCUGGCCACAGUACGGA